UACAGAGGGGGCAAGCGUUAUUCGGAAUUAUUGGGCGUAAAGGGCGCGUAGGCGGCCUUGCAAGUGGAAGGUGAAAUCCCUCGGCUUAACCGAGGAACUGCCCUCCAAACUGCUUGGCUUGAGACCGGGAGAGGUGAGUGGAAUUCCCAGUGUAGCGGUGAAAUGCGUAGAUAUUGGGAGGAACACCAGUGGCGAAGGCGGCUCACUGGACCGGUACUGACGCUGAUGCGCGAAAGCGUGGGGAGCAAACGGG
rnacentral:rRNA from 1 species